rnacentral:rRNA from 2 species
GCUGAGCUGUGAUGGGGAAGCUCCUUAUGGAGCGAAGUCUUUGAUUCCCCGCUGCCAAGAAAAGCUUCUAGCGAGAUAAAAGGUGCCUGUACCGCAAACCGACACAGGUAGGCGAGGAGAGAAUCCUAAGGUGUGCGAGAGAACUCUGGUUAAGGAACUCGGCAAAAUGACCCCGUAACUUCGGGAGAAGGGGUGCUUUCUUAACGGAAAGCCGCAGUGAAUAGGCCCAAGCGACUGUUUAGCAAAAACACAGGUCUCUGCGAAGCCGUAAGGCGAAGUAUAGGGGCUGACACCUGCCCGGUGCUGGAAGGUUAAGGAGAGGGGUUAGCGUAAGCGAAGCUCUGAACUGAAGCCCCAGUAAACGGCGGCCGUAACUAUAACGGUCCUAAGGUAGCGAAAUUCCUUGUCGGGUAAGUUCCGACCCGCACGAAAGGUGUAACGAUUUGGGCACUGUCUCAACCAGAGACUCGGUGAAAUUAUAGUACCUGUGAAGAUGCAGGUUACCCGCGACAGGACGGAAAGACCCCGUGGAGCUUUACUGUAGCCUGAUAUUGAAUUUUGGUACAGUUUGUACAGGAUAGGCGGGAGCCAUUGAAACCGGAGCGCUAGCUUCGGUGGAGGCGCUGGUGGGAUACCGCCCUGACUGUAUUGAAAUUCUAACCUACGGGUCUUAUCGACCCGGGAGACAGUGUCAGGUGGGCAGUUUGACUGGGGCGGUCGCCUCCUAAAGUGUAACGGAGGCGCCCAAAGGUUCCCUCAGAAUGGUUGGAAAUCAUUCGUAGAGUGCAAAGGCAUAAGGGAGCUUGACUGCGAGACCUACAAGUCGAGCAGGGACGAAAGUCGGGCUUAGUGAUCCGGUGGUUCCGCAUGGAAGGGCCAUCGCUCAACGGAUAAAAGCUACCCCGGGGAUAACAGGCUUAUCUCCCCCAAGAGUCCACAUCGACGGGGAGGUUUGGCACCUCGAUGUCGGCUCAUCGCAUCCUGGGGCUGUAGUCGGUCCCAAGGGUUGGGCUGUUCGCCCAUUAAAGCGGUACGCGAGCUGGGUUCAGAACGUCGUGAGACAGUUCGGUCCCUAUCCGUCGUGGGCGUAGGAAAUUUGAGAGGAGCUGUCCUUAGUACGAGAGGACCGGGAUGGACGCACCGCUGGUGUACCAGUUGUUCUGCCAAGGGCAUAGCUGGGUAGCUAUGUGCGGAAGGGAUAAGUGCUGAAAGCAUCUAAGCAUGAAGCCCCCCUCAAGAUGAGAUUUCCCAUAGCGUAAGCUAGUAAGAUCCCUGAAAGAUGAUCAGGUUGAUAGGUUCGAGGUGGAAGCAUGGUGACAUGUGGAGCUGACGAAUACUAAUAGAUCGAGGACUUAACCAU